UACGUAGGCAGCAAGCGUUGUUCGGAGUUACUGGGCGUAAAGGGUGUGUAGGCGGUCUUCUAAGUCUGGUGUGAAAUCUCCCGGCUUAACUGGGAGGGGCCGUGCGAAACUGCCGGGCUUGAGGUCGGAAGGGGAAAGUGGAAUUCCGGGUGUAGUGGUGGAAUACGUAGAUAUCCGGAGGAACACCAGCGGCGAAGGCGGCUUUCUGGUCCGAUACUGACGCUGAGGUGCGAAAGCGUGGGGAGCGAUCCGG
rnacentral:rRNA from 1 species